CAGAACUAUGGAUAGUCGGGAGCAGUUGGCUUUUGGAGAAAACAUACCUUAAUUUAGUAGACAGUUUGGCUCACGAGAAUGUGACAUGUGUCCGUCCUGCUUCACUGAAGUCACCCAUACGUCAGGCUCUCACAACUUCAGAGAGCCCGGACUCCGACUCCCGCUGAGCACCUGCCCUUUGGUUGGCCAGCUCUGUGUCCAGGUCUUGUGCUUCGUCCAACUCAUGUAAAGUCACUGGGUGAGUCAUCUUGGCUGAAUAGGGAACCAAGAGUGGUGGGCUCAUGGUGCCAUUGUGAAGUUCUCUGAAGUUCAAAUUCCGUUAUUAAAAAUGUAAACCUUA